UCUGUUGUAGGUUCUGUCUUUGCUGUUUGGUUGGUUUGAAUGAGAAGCUACGUGUUUCUACAUUAAGCUAGUACUUCAUUAUUAUUCGACUUUGCCUGUAAAUGCAAACUGAAAGGGAAAACAGAAACAGAAGGCUGAACCCUCCUUGAUUCAUCCUAGGACCAGAAUAAUGACCACCUGUCUGGUUUGCUGCAUGGACUCUUUCUCUCCCUAUGAUUCUCCCAGCUUACUCUACAAUCUCAGAAGAUUCUUCCUUCUUUCAUUUUGCUGCUCAUUGAAGGGAAGGACUUCAAUGCUGUCACAUUACCAUCAACCAAGUUCAAUAAAACACUGUUAGCUGGUGUUCAGGAUUGCUGUGAUUGGGAGCAACUGACACUUUCUGGCAUUUCUGCCAUUUAUUUCCUAGGCAGAUUACUCAGUUUCAGGAAGACUAAAUGCAAGAGUGCCCCUCAAGCACACCCCAUGUGCAGCUCCUCAUCUCUGAGUAAUUGCUUAAAUUCUCCCCAGUCGUUAGUGCCAAAGCCCCUAGACAGGCAUUCACGGGUAGGGAGUGCUCAGUUAAUUUGUUUUCUUGCAUUUUGACAGUACAUGAGAUAGAGAGUUAAAAAUUAUAUGCCCUUUCUUCAGAUACAUAGUGAUUUGGUUAUUUGAAUUUCAUUCACUGUUUUUUUUUCAAUUCUAUUAUGCUUUUCUAAAAAUGAUUUAUGGUAUUUGGUUUAAAUAAAAGUACUGUCAAAUUAUUAGAAUGUUAAGAUAGCUUCUGCUUAAUAUUUGGAGCCAGGGAGAAAACACUUCUACAACUCUCUUACGCACACAAAAUUAAUUUUAUCUCAUUAACUAAAGGUGUUCUUGAAAAAAGUUGUUUUAAUGUACCAUCGGCUUUGUAACCUUCCCUAAAACAAGUUCUUUUUUUUCUCUGAUUUUCUGAAGUUGUCUGUACCAAAAUGAUACUGUUAUUCUGGAAUGUUGAUGUGGUAGGAAACUUCUACUUAAAUCUCUAAAAAGUAGGCUAUGAUUACAUAUCAUAAAAAUAGAUGUAAAACGUGGCUAUUCUGGCCUCUUGAGGUCAGAGAACCUUGCCAUGAGCAUGUCUAAUCACAUGUCUGUACAUCUCAGUGACUUAAUAUUUCAAAUAACAGACAUUUUAAUACAAGACAAUCAAAAUAUA